AUUGAACGCUGGCGGCACGCCUAACACAUGCAAGUCGAACGGCAGCGCGGGGGCAACCCUGGCGGCGAGUGGCGGACGGGUGAGGAAUGCAUCGGAAUCUGCCUGGUUGUGGGGGAUAACGUAGGGAAACUUACGCUAAUACCGCAUACGACCUACGGGUGAAAGUGGGGGACCGCAAGGCCUCACGCGAUCAGAGGAGC
rnacentral:rRNA from 1 species